rnacentral:rRNA from 1 species
AUGAAGGGACAGUACACGUCAAAAUCCACAGGCCAACUUACAAAAGAAGCUGGAGAAGCUAUUAUCAGGAGGAAACAACAACUCCAAGAAAAAAGGAGUAAGAGAUGCAGGAAUACACAGGAAACAACCAAUAAAAAAGAAGAAGAUGCUUCACGGAAGAGAAAGGAACAAAUCAAAGAAAGAACAAAUGUGAAGCGUGCAAGAACAAGUGGGAGCGACAAUGACCUUGGAAGCAACAUCAAAGAAACAAACAGCAGCACUACGUCCGAGAGUUAUUAUAGCAAAAUAUGGAACUUUGGAAAGCCAACAUAUAGAUGUGAACAUUGCAAUGCAAUACUAUGGUGUGAAGAAAGAUUAAAUUCUCAUAGAGGAACCAAAAAACUUUCUUUCAGAAUUUGCUCCAAACAAGGUAAGAUUGACCUACCAAAGAUGGCACACCCUCCACCUUACUUCGCAGGAUUAUUAACAGGUGAAGGAAGUGAUGCAACAAACUUCAAAGAAAAUAUCGGGUCAUACAACUCAAUGUUCUCAUUCACAUCAAUGGGAGGAGCUGUUGACAAAGAAAUAAACAAAGGCAAAGGACCAUAUGUUUUUAGACUGCAUGGCCAGAACUAUCACCAUAUUGGAACUCUUCUACCUGAAGAAGGUAACAAACCUCGAUUUGCCCAGCUAUACAUCUAUCAGACAGAAAAUGAGGUGCAAAACAGGAUAGAUGCUUCAAGAUGCAAUGAUAAUAAAUCAACGGUGGACCCUGCCAUUGUCAAAGAACUACAAAAAAUGCUUGAUGAGAACAACAUCCUCGCAAAAUCUUUCAGAAUGGCAAGAGAUAGAUUCAAAGAAGAAGACUACCAUGAUUACACACUUAGAAUACUUGGGAAAAGGAACGGAACACACAACCUUCCAUCUGCAUCGGAAGUUGCAGCAUUGGUUGUAAGAGACCCAACUGGAGAGAGUGAAGGACGAGAUAUCGUUGUCGAGUACAAAAAUAUGGAGCCUCACAGAAUAUCGGAAAUCCAUCCAAAAUUAAUGUUGAUGCAAUACCCAUUGUUGUUUCCAUACGGAGAAGACGGCUUCAAGCUUGAAAUACCUUACAAGCGAACAAAAGAAGGUGACAAAAGCAAGAAAUAUGUAACUAUGCUGGACUACUACGCAUACUACCUACAGCAAAGACCCGACCAAGGAAUGUCGCUGCUAACGUCUAGACAUCUAUCUCUGCAAUUUUGGGUAGAUGUUUACACAUGCAUUGAGCAAAACAGACUAAAUUGGAUCAGGAAUAAUCAAGGGAAGCUACGGACUGAACUUUACAGUGGACUGCAGGAUGCGAUUGAGCAAGGGGACACCAAAACAGAGCAGGUUCGAAAGAGAAUAAUUGUACCUUCAUCUUAUACAGGAGGCAGAAGAAACAAGGCACAGAACUUGCAAGACGCUUUUGCAAUAUGCCGUUGGGCUGGAUAUCCAGACCUAUUUAUAACAUUCACAUGCAACGCGAAGUGGCCCGAGAUCCAAUACAUGCUAGAUGAAGCAGGAGGGGGCCUAAAUCCAGCCGACCGGCCAGAUAUUGUUGACCGAGUAUUCAUGAUAAAACUGAAGGAGCUAAUGAGAGACAUCAUUGUGAAGAAACACUUUGGAGAAACUAUAUCAAGUAAGAUCAGCCGACUUCUCAUCGCUAACUAA